rnacentral:rRNA from 2 species
AAUUGAAAUAGAGGACAGUGGCGGACUGGUGAGUAACGCGUGAGGAACCUGCCCUUCAGAGGGGGACAACAGUUGGAAACGACUGCUAAUACCGCAUAAUGUAUUUGGGAGGCAUCUCCUGGAUACCAAAGAUUUUAUCGCUGAAGGAUGGGCUCACGUCUGAUUAGCUAGUUGGUGAGGUAACGGCUCACCAAGGCUGCGAUCAGUAGCCGGACUGAGAGGUUGAACGGCCACAUUGGGACUGAGAUACGGCCCAGACUCC